rnacentral:rRNA from 1 species
GUGAACGUUACCAAACUGUUGCCUCGGCGGGAUCUCUGCCCCGGGUGCGUCGCAGCCCCGGACCAAGGCGCCCGCCGGAGGACCAACCAAAACUCUUAUUGUAUACCCCCUCGCGGGUUUUUUACUAUCUGAGCCAUCUCGGCGCCCCUCGUGGGCGUUUCGAAAAUGAAUCAAAACUUUCAACAACGGAUCUCUUGGUUCUGGCAUCGAUGAAGAACGCAGCGAAAUGCGAUAAGUAAUGUGAAUUGCAGAAUUCAGUGAAUCAUCGAAUCUUUGAACGCACAUUGCGCCCGCCAGUAUUCUGGCGGGCAUGCCUGUCCGAGCGUCAUUUCAACCCUCGAACCCCUCCGGGGGGUCGGCGUUGGGGAUCGGCCCUUUACGGGGCCGGCCCCGAAAUACAGUGGCGGUCUCGCCGCAGCCUCUCCUGCGCAGUAGUUUGCACACUCGCAUCGGGAGCGCGGCGCGUCCACAGCCGUUAAACACCCCAAACUUCUGAAAUGUUGACCUCGGAUCAGGUAGGAAUACCCGCUGAACUUAAGCAUAUCAAUAAGCGGAGG